rnacentral:rRNA from 1 species
AGUGAACGCUGGCGGUAGGCCUAACACAUGCAAGUCGAACGGCAGCACAGUAAGAGCUUGCUCUUACGGGUGGCGAGUGGCGGACGGGUGAGGAAUACAUCGGAAUCUACUUUUUCGUGGGGGAUAACGUAGGGAAACUUACGCUAAUACCGCAUACGACCUACGGGUGAAAGCAGGGGAUCUUCGGACCUUGCGCGAUUGAAUGAGCCGAUGUCGGAUUAGCUAGUUGGCGGGGUAAAGGCCCACCAAGGCGACGAUCCGUAGCUGGUCUGAGAGGAUGAUCAGCCACACUGGAACUGAGACACGGUCCAGACUCCUACGGGAGGCAGCAGUGGGGAAUAUUGGACCAAGGGCGCAAGCCUGAUCCAGCCAUACCGCGUGGGUGAAGAAGGCCUUCGGGUUGUAAAGCCCUUUUGUUGGGAAAGAAAAGCAGCAGGUUAAUACCCCGCUGUUCUGACGGUACCCAAAGAAUAAGCACCGGCUAACUUCGUG